AUUAUUUUGGCAGAAUAAGUGCAUUAAAUUUAGAAUUUAAUUAUAUAUACAUUUGUAUAUAAGUAAUA
rnacentral:tRNA from 1 species